rnacentral:rRNA from 1 species
GAUGAACGCUAGCGGCAGGCCUAAUACAUGCAAGUCGAGGGGUAUGGGAGAGCUUGCUUUCCCUGAGACCGGCGCACGGGUGCGUAACGCGUAUGCAACCUACCCUUUUCUGGGGGAUAGCCCGAAGAAAUUCGGAUUAAUACCGCAUAAGACCACGACACGGCAUCGUGACGGGGUCAAACAUUUAUGGGAGAAGGAUGGGCAUGCGUGCCAUUAGCUAGUUGGCGGGGUAACGGCCCACCAAGGCGACGAUGGCUAGGGGAUCUGAGAGGAUGGCCCCCCACACGGGUGCUGAGACACGGACCAGACUCCUACGGGAGGCAGCAGUAAGGAAUAUUGGUCAAUGGAGGCAACUCUGAACCAGCCAUGCCGCGUGCAGGAAGACGGCCCUCUGGGUUGUAAACUGCUUUUGUACGGGAAUAAACCUCCGAUCGUGAUCGGAGCUGAAUGUACCGUAAGAAUAAGGAUCGGCUAACUCCGUGCCAGCCGCCGCGGUAAAAC